GAUGAACGCUGGCGGCGUGCCUAAUACAUGCAAGUCGAGCGAACAGACGAGGAGCUUGCUCCUCUGACGUUAGCGGCGGACGGGUGAGUAACACGUGGAUAACCUACCUAUAAGACUGGGAUAACUUCGGGAAACCGGAGCUAAUACCGGAUAAUAUAUUGAACCGCAUGGUUCAAUAGUGAAAGACGGUUUUGCUGUCACUUAUAGAUGGAUCCGCGCCGCAUUAGCUAGUUGGUAAGGUAACGGCUUACCAAGGCAACGAUGCGAAGCCGACCUGAGAGGGAGAUCGGCCACACUGGAACUGAGACACGGUCCAGACUCCUACGGGAGGCAGCAGUAGGGAAUCUUCCGCAAUGGGCGAAAGCCUGACGGAGCAACGCCGCGUGAGUGAUGAAGGUCUUCGGAUCGUAAAACUCUGUUAGUAGGGAAGAACAAAUGUGUAAGUAACUAUGCACGUCUUGACGGUACCUAAUCAGAAAGCCACGGCUAACUACGUG
rnacentral:rRNA from 1 species